rnacentral:lncRNA from 1 species
AGCCAAGUCAAAAGUGCCCAAAAAAGGUAACAAUUCAAAAACCAUCUCAUCAAAUCCCUCUUAUAAGGUAAUUCCCAAAACUUACCUCAUUCCAUAUAUAUUUACCUCUUUCUUUCCUUCUUUUAUCUAAUUAAUUAAGUUAUCAUUACAUAACCUCCCAAAACAUUUCUUUUAUUAUGAUAAUUAGCCAAUUAAUAUAUAUAUACCUAAUUAAUAUAUUAACU